rnacentral:rRNA from 1 species
AAGUGGCGCACGGGGUUGAGUAACGCGUGGGUAAUCUACCCUAAAGCUAGGAAUAACACCUCGAAAGGGGUGCUAAUACCUAAUAACAUCCUCGGUAUCUCGGUACUGGGGGAUCAAAGAUGGCUGAGGCUUGCAAGCUAUUGCUUUAGGAUGAGCCCGCGUACCAUUAGCUAGUUGGUGGGGUAACGGCCCACCAAGGCCAUGAUGGUUAGCUGGUCUGAGAGGAUGGCCAGCCACACUGGAACUGAGAUACGGUCCAGACUCCUACGGGAGGCAGCAGUGAGAAUCUUGCGCAAUGGGGGCAACCCUGACGCAGCAACGCCGCGUGAGUGAUGAAGGCCUUCGGGUCGUAAAGCUCUGUCAGAUGGGAAGAAAAUUUCCGUGACAAAUAAUCACGGGGAUUGACGGUACCGUCAAAGGAAGCACCGGCUAACUCCGUGCCAGCAGCCGCGGUAA